UCUAAAAAAACCAGAUCCCUAAUCAGCUAAUGAAGCUAACAAGCUAAAAGCUUCUCAAGGACUGGAAAUAUAUCUCUUAGGAUUCCCGAAGCCAGAAGCGACCCCAUACAUUGUAGAGGAGCGUUCCGUUCAGCAGUGAAGCUUCGUCGCGAGACGGGGUGGAGCGGACGGAAGUGAGAAUGUUGGCAUGAGUAACUACUAGGCAGGUGAAAACCCUGCCCGCCGAAUCCCCAAGGUUUCCCACGUAACGGCAAUCGGCGUGGGGUUAGUCGGGCCUAAGGUGAGGCCGAAAGGCGUAACCGAUGGACAACAGGUAAAU
rnacentral:autocatalytically_spliced_intron from 1 species